GCGGAUGUGGCAGAACGGCUAUGCGUACGCCUGCAGAGCGUAUUUUAUGGGAGUUCAAUUCUCCCCGUCCGCU
rnacentral:tRNA from 2 species